UUUGGGUGGCGGACGGGUGAGUAACGCGUAAAGAACUUGCCUCACAGUUAGGGACAACAUUUGGAAACGAAUGCUAAUACCUGAUAUUAUGAUUUUAGGGCAUCCUAAGAUUAUGAAAGCUAUAUGCGCUGUGAGAGAGCUUUGCGUCCCAUUAGCUAGUUGGAGAGGUAACGGCUCACCAAGGCGAUGAUGGGUAGCCGGCCUGAGAGGGUGAACGGCCACAAGGGGACUGAGACACGGCCCUUACUCC
rnacentral:rRNA from 1 species